AGACCUGACCUGAACAGCAAGCAAAUGCUGUCUUGAUAUGCCACGAGUGAGAGAAGCUCAGCACCCAGUGAAUGUCGUUGCAGUGGAAACCUGGCAGAAGUUGUCAUACCUUGAAGGUGAUAUCUUCCCAUGGCAGGCUCAGGCCUUCUUUCUUUGUCUCCUUGAAUCUUCCCAAGAGAUCCAGCCUGGCCACACUGGCUUUGUACUAACUGAUGCCUAGAAAAAUAUAGAAGCACUAAAAUCCCACCUGAUCCCAAAUUGAUCUGACCACAUGGGCAAAGCACUGCCCACGUCUGGUGGCCUUCCUUCCUCAUGCAGGCUAGGCAGCCAAGAAGCACCAGCCAGAACAAGGGGAGCAGAGCAGCACUUGCAUGCCAGGGCUGGUUCACCUUGGGCUCAAACUCUUGUAAACAGUUUGUGGCAAGCCUAGCAGAGUUUGGAAGUGUGUGUGGGCAUAACAAGAGCUCACAAAUACCACACAUCAACAAGAUCUGACCUUGGACUUGAACUGAUAUGGAUAUAUCUGCAGGCAACACGAGGCCAUUACAUCUCGAUAGGACAGAUCAAUGUGCAUUGAGCAAUUCACAGCUGCACCAAAACUCGCAGCCAAACACCAGGACUUCAGGAUUCAAACAGCCCAAAAGAAUUGACCUGUGGAGUCUCACAGCAUCCACCCUCUUCCUCAGUUGAAGAGUCUAAGCAUGUUUCAGCGGUUCUGCGCUCCCAGCACACAAAACCAUCUGCAGCAGCCCAAGUCAGAAACAGGCUCUCAUAGGCUGGCUCUGGAACAGGCAGUUUCUCGCAGCAAGACCAGCCGCCCUUCCAGCAAAUCACAGGUGUUCUCCACAUGGCAUGAGCAGGUUGAACCCACACAAAGGUAGAACAGCUGACAUAGCUGGAAGCCGCUUGGAUCCCACCACUGAAAUUGAGGCUUUUUGCUGGGAACAGGGUGUGUGCGGGCUGAAAAGCACUGAGGAGGAACUGAGGCCAUGGCUGAUCCAGGAGGGUGCCCAGAGCAGCUCUGCAAGUGAGGUUAGUGCCUUCACUUCUCUGUCAUCACCAGUCCUUGAGAGCAAUCACCACCCACCAACAGUUCCUCAAGAUAAGACUGAGCCAGCUGGGAGAAGAAAGCCUUUGAUAUUUUGCUGCCUCGCUGACUGCAUUUCUCACAGCUCAUGUCUCCGAGUGGACCAGCAGAGGUGACUGGACAUAUAAGAAUAACAUUGGACAGACGACUGUCUUCAGACCUUGGCUAACAUGAUUUCUCAGUGUCCUACUACACCUCAUCAUGAAGCUGGUACAGCAUCAAAGACCAUCUGCACUGAUGGGUGGAGGUACACAGGCCUCUUCUGGCCAGAACAGCAGCAUCAGCCCAGGACUAGAUGAGCAAGCACAUCUUCACUGCUUGGAUGGAGACUGGACCAACCCCUGAUAUGUGGAAAAGGUCCUCUCCUGCUUCAUCGUGAGGUGUGUUCUUGAAGAAGUAUGUGAGAGCAGAAAAGAGUUAAAAUAGCAUUGUCAUCCCCUGAAUAGAGCAUACCUAGGAAAGUGAAACACAGCUGUGACGUUCACCUGCGACACAACCGAGAGCACCAGUAAAGCGAAGAGGACAGUGUUGCAGCAGCUCUUGCAUUUAGCAAGCAUGGGCCUGGGCAGAGUGAGGUGGAGCUCGGCACUGGAGUCUCCCUGAUCCUUCCACGGAUAUCGGCAUCUGCCACACCUGGGGUCCACGGCAAAGCUCUUUCCUCCAGAGGCCAAGAGCUGAGUCUACAGUUUCCAGCAGGGUCCUGUAUGAUACAGCAUCUGCACUGGAUAGGUGCAUGGUGAGCAUGCUGUGGCUGGGCAAGGACUGCACAGAUCUGGGGGCAGUUUGCUAUUUCACAUACUCUUCCUGCACUCUGCAUAGUAAAACACCUCCUCCAAAAUGAAGGAGAGACAGGAGCUUCUUCAUGCACUAUUUCCACCACGUCUGCCCAUCUCUACUCCUACCACUGACUAAUUGGUUUGGCUGCCUCAAGAUGACCUUGAAAAGAUGUAACCUUUGAACCCAGGCCAACCCUGAAGCACUCUGCAGAGCUCUGUCUAGGAGGAAAAGCAGAGCUGACCACUGACGAGGAUACCCAUGCUCCGGAACCCUGCUUCUCUGGCUGCAUGGGAGAAACAACAUCAGAAAAUGCCGUGUGCCAGCAAGUAGGAAAUAUAGAAAUAUAUGAUACAGGAAAGCAAGGAGCUAUAUAUGGCUGAGCCCAAAUCCAGUUCCGAGAGGAGAUUUUCCAGUAGAGGACGGAGACAGACUGGGGUGGGGGAACCAAGGCACAGAGAUUAACCCAGCUGCCAAAUCACCCAAGGAGGCUGUAUCACAGCAUCAGCCUCCAGAACCAGAACUCAUAAAAGGUUUUAGCAGCAUGGAAUCCUGCUGGGAAAGCUCUGCAGCAGCUCUGGUCACAGCUGGCUGGGCACCUGGCUUGCUGGGCUUGGAGCUGGCUGAGGCUGGUACCUCCAGGAUGGGGCUGCAAGCAUUGGCUCUUGAGGUCUUACAGAAAGGUGGCUUCCCUGCAGCUCUGCUCCUUGCCAAGCUGUACUUUGGCCAGUAAAUGAAAGGUUAACAGCAACGGGAGAUGCUCUUUGAUGAUCAUCCCACUCAGCUCUUGCAGAGACCAGGCGCCGACACCAGAACUGUGCCAGGGUUGUCCUGCAAGUGCUGGUGGCAUCACCUCACAGCUGGGACUGGAGCCUCCCUCCGGGACCACGCCACGCCAGCAAUUCCAGGCUCAGCACUGCAGCUGCCCUGCAGAAGUUGGUGGGACUCGAGAGCGGUCACUGAAGUUUUGUGGAAAUGUUCAGUGGAGAUUUUCGUGGCAGGUGUGAAAGCAAUCUGCCUUGCAACUGACCUGGUGCGGCCUAGAGAAAACAACUGGGAGGUGUCAUCUCUGGGAGCAGAGAGAGCAGCAAAUGGGCUGUGUGAAGGACAGAGAAAAAAGGAAGAAAUACCUCCUGCAAAUGAGGUGCCAACAGAAAAUGUGCCUUGGCAGCUGGAAAGGUGUAAUGAAAGCCUCGGCAAAAUAUAGAUACAGAGAACAACUGAAAGCACUGUGUCACCCCAGAUCACAGGUGAAGCAGGGCUCCCCUUCUGCUCAGGUUUAGUGGGCACCAACACCUCCCUCAGGACCUAAGCACUGUCCUGGAAAGGCUGUGAAGGGGAAAAUAUCAGCAAAGGCGCUAUAGCUAUGGCUGUCACCCCUGGCAAUAGGAGGGGGAGAGAUUCCACCAUAAGCAGAUGAAGCCUUUUUCAGCGGCUCGGAUGCCGGCUCUCCAUCUCUUCAGCAUCCAGACUAGGCUGUCUGCAGUGGACUGGAAGUUGUCUCAUCAGACACGUGGUGCAGCCUCACCACCUGACAUGUUAUGACAAGCUUUUAACUUUUGAGAGGCAAUGGAUGGAAACGUGUCACUGCUUUGGGAGCAGCGCAGCACAGGCUGCCAAAAAUAGUUCAUGUUGCAGUGGUAUCAGCCCCUCUGAGGCAGACACCCAUCCCAGCCAUGGUGCUCCAUGAGGGAAGAAGCCAGGAUGCUUCAGGUGGCCUACACAGACCAGGCAAAUUAUUUGCUGCAAAUCCCCAUAUUCAUAGGCAUUUCUCAGAGCCAAAUGCCAGCAGUCAAGUUAUUUGGGCUUUUCAGUGAUUGUGUCAUUUUGAUUAAACAUUCCUCAGGUUCCCAAUUUUCUGACCACCAUCAGUCCCAAUCAGGGCCUCAAAGUCUUCUAUCAAAGCCAAGAAGCUAGUACAAAAUUUAGAGCAAGUGGGGAAAAAGAAACAUUGGUGACAGGUCACCUGUGGUUUGAAAGAGCAAGAGCCGUCCUCCCUGGCAGGCUGCCCUUUUCUAUCUGCAAUCUGUCCUACAAAGUGGAUGGGAGAUAAGUCACUGGCAGAUCCCUGCACUGAUAAAAGACGUUUUAAUUUACCGGUGUUAGCUUGGCACUGCUGAGCAAUAUUGGAAUGACAACUCCCAUCACACUCAAUGCACUUCCAAAACAUAUUAAUAAACUUAAAAAAGGAAAUGGAGCUGAGGAUUCAUUGUCCUUUGGAUGAAGAAAAAAAAAAUGCAUGUAGAUCUUCAAGUUUAACCCGUUUAAUGGUUACAAAUAUUUUGUUCAGAUGUGUUACCUUCCAUCAGAAAAAAAUGCAUAGCUUUCCUGAAGUUAACCUCCUGUUUUCUGA